GAUGAACGCUGGCGGCGUGCCUAAUACAUGCAAGUCGAGCGAACAGACGAGGAGCUUGCUCCUCUGACGUUAGCGGCGGACGGGUGAGUAACACGUGGAUAACCUACCUAUAAGUCUGGGAUAACUUCGGGAAACCGGAGCUAAUACCGGAUAAUAUAUUGAACCGCAUGGUUCAAUAGUGAAAGACGGUUUUGCUGUCACUUAUAGAUGGAUCCGCGCCGCAUUAGCUAGUUGGUAAGGUAACGGCUUACCAAGGCAACGAUGCGUAGCCGACCUGAGAGGGUGAUCGGCCACACUGGAACUGAGUCACGGUCCAGACUCCUACGGGAGGCAGCAGUAGGGAAUCUUCCGCAAUGGGCGAAAGCCUGACGGAGCAACGCCGCGUGAGUGAUGAAGGUCUUCGGAUCGUAAAACUCUGUUAUUAGGGAAGAACAAAUGUGUAAGUAACUAUGCACGUCUUGACGGUACCUAAUCAGAAAGCCACGGCUAACUACGUG
rnacentral:rRNA from 1 species